rnacentral:rRNA from 1 species
AUUGAACGCUGGCGGCGUGCUUAACACAUGCAAGUCGAUCGGUAACGCGGGGGCAACCCUGGCGACGAGAGGCGGACGGGUGAGGAACGCUUGGGAAUCUGCCCAUCAGCGGGGGACAACCCGGGGAAACCCGGGCUAAUACCGCGUACGCUCUAUGGAGGAAAGCCGGGGACCGCAAGGCCUGGCACUGAUGGAUGAGCCCAAGUCGGAUUAGCUAGUUGGCGGGGUAACGGCCCACCAAGGCGACGAUCCGUAGCUGGUCUGAGAGGACGAUCAGCCACAAUGGGACUGAGACACGGCCCAGACUCCUACGGGAGGCAGCAGUGGGGAAUAUUGGACAAUGGGGGAAACCCUGAUCCAGCGACGCCGCGUGGGUGAAGAAGGCCUGCGGGUUGUAAAGCCCUUUCGGUAGGGACGAAAGCUCUCGACCUAACACGUCGGGAGGUUGACUUAACCUACAAAAGAAGCACCGGCUAACUCUGUGCCAGCAGCCGCAGUAAAAC